rnacentral:rRNA from 1 species
CCUACGGGAGGCAGCAGUGAGGAAUAUUGGUCAAUGGACGAGAGUCUGAACCAGCCAAGUAGCGUGAAGGAUGACUGCCCUAUGGGUUGUAAACUUCUUUUAUAUGGGAAUAAAAUGUUCCACGUGUGGGCUUUUGUAUGUACCUUAUGAAUAAGGAUCGGCUAACUCCGUGCCAGCAGCCGCGGUAAUACGGAGGGUCCGAGCGUUAUCCGGAUUUAUUGGGUUUAAAGGGUGCGUAGGUGGGUUGUUAAGUCAGUUGUGAAAGUUUGCGGCUCAACCGUAAAAUUGCAGUUGAAACUGGCAGUCUUGAGUACAGUAGAGGUAGGCGGAAUUCGUGGUGUAGCGGUGAAAUGCUUAGAUAUCACGAAGAACUCCGAUUGCGAAGGCAGCUCACUGGACUGCAACUGACACUGAGGCUCGAAAGUGUGGGUAUCAAACAGGAUUAGAUACCCGAGUAGUC